UACGUAGGGGGCAAGCGUUGUCCGGAAUCAUUGGGCGUAAAGAGCGUGUAGGCGGCCCGGUAAGUCCGCUGUGAAAGUCCAGGGCUCAACCCUGGGGUGCCGGUGGAUACUGUCGGGCUCGAGUCCGGAAGAGGAGUGUGGAAUUCCUGGUGUAGCGGUGAAAUGCGCAGAUAUCAGGAGGAACACCAAUGGCGAAGGCAGCUCGCUGGAACGGUACUGACGCUGAGGCGCGAAAGCGUGGGGAGCGAACAGG
rnacentral:rRNA from 1 species